CGGUAAUUCCAGCUCCAAUAGCGUAUAUUAAAGUUGUUGCAGUUAAAAAGCUCGUAGUUGGAUUUCUGGUGGGAGGGAUCGGUCAUUCACUUAGUUGUUUGUACUUGUAUCCUCUCCGGCCAUCCUUGGGUGGAUCCUUUCUGGUAUUAGUUUAUCGGAAUGGCAAUACCCAUCAUUUACUGUGAAAAAAUUAGAGUGUUCAAAGCAGGCUUAUGCCAUUGAAUAUAUUAGCAUGGAAUAACAAUAUAGGGCCCUGGUACUAUUUUGUUGGUUUGCGUACCGGAGUAAUGAUUAACAGGGACAGUUGGGGGUAUUCGUAUUCAGUAUUCAGUGGUGAAAUACUUAGAUCUACGGAAGACGAACUACUGCGAAAGCAUUUACCAAGGAUGUUUUCAUUAAUCAAGAACGAAAGUAUGGGGAUCGAAGAUGAUCAGAUACCAUCGUAGUCUAUACCAUAAACUAUGCCGACUCAGGAUGGGCAGGGCUCAUAUAACCCUGUCUGCACUGUACGAGAAAUCAAAGUCUUUGGGUUCCGGGGGGAGUAUGCUCGCAAGGGUGAAACUUAAAGAAAUUGACGGAAGGGCACCACCAGGAGUGGAACCUGCGGCUUAAUUUGACUCAACACGGGAAACCUUUUCAGGUCCAGACAUAAUGAGGAUUGACAGAUUGAGAGCUCUUUCUUGAUUUUAUGGGUGGUGGUGCGUAUCAAAUAAUUGAUUUAUCUUGUUUUUUUACCAUUCUUUUUUCUUAUUUCAUUUUCUGACAUCAAUAUUCUUUACAUCUUAUUUACUAUCCUUUUACUUCAACAGGUGCAUGGCCGUUUUUAGUUGGUGGAGUGAUUUGUCUGGUUAAUUCCGUUAACGAACGAGACCUCAGUCUGCAAAAUAAUGGUGUUAAUGUUUUCAUUGGCAGCCAUUUCUUUGAGAGACAUGUAGUUCUUAAACUACAGGAAGAGUGAGGCAACAACAGGUCUGUGAUGCCCUUAGAUGUCCUGAACCGCACGCGUGUUACACUGAUACAUUCAACGAGCUUAUAACCUUGGCCGAGAGGCCUGGGCAAUCUUGUUAACGUGUAUCGUGAUAGGGAUAGAUUAUUGCAAUUAUUAAUCUUGAACGAGGAAUUCCUAGUAAACGCACUUCAUCAAAGUGCAUUGAUUACGUCCCUGCCCUUUGGUGAGUAAAUAACAAUUUGUUGGCAUCAUGUUUAACCUAGAAUAACUUUUUAUCUUUUAGCAUCUUUCUAACUUAAUAUAUCUAUUUGUCUUUCUUUGUCUCUCUUUUAACUCUGCAGUACACACCGCCCGUCGCACCUACCGAUUGAAUGAUCCGGUGAAGCCUUGGGAUUGUAGUUUGGUUCCUUUAUUGGGACCUUACCGCGAGAACAUGUCUGAACCUUAUCAUUUAGAGGAAGGUGAAGUCGUAACAAGGUAACC
rnacentral:rRNA from 1 species